GACCCGCCCGUGACAGGCUGGGGGGUCAUGACCAGCCUGUGAUGGACUGUGGUCGCUCGCCUCCAGGUUUGGCUCCCAGGACUGCAGAGCUGGGAGUGACCGGCUGAGCCCGGGAUGCUGUGCUGGUGUGAGUCGGGCUGACUGCAACACACAAUUCCGACGUUUCCUCCUCGUUACUGCCAAACACUGGAAGGACUGGGAUCGCUGGAGACAUCCCUUCUGGAGAGUGAACAGAGUUAGAGCCAGCUGGUGAGCUACAACUUUCAAAUCUGAAACUUUUCAGAUGGUGCUUGGAUGGAAAGGC
rnacentral:lncRNA from 1 species